rnacentral:rRNA from 1 species
AACGAACGCUGGCGGCAGGCUUAACACAUGCAAGUCGAGCGCCCCGCAAGGGGAGCGGCAGACGGGUGAGUAACGCGUGGGAAUCUACCCAUCUCUACGGAAUAACGCAUGGAAACGCGUGCUAAUACCGUAUACGUCCUUCGGGAUAAAGAUUUAUUGGAGAUGGAUGAGCCCGGGUUGGAUUAGCUAGUUGGUGGGGUAAAGGCCUACCAAGGCGACGAUCCAUAGCUGGUCUGAGAGGAUGAUCAGUCACACUGGGACUGAGACACGGCCCAGACUCCUACGGGAGGCAGCAGUGGGGAAUAUUGGACAACGGGCGCAAGCCUGAUCCAGCCAUGCCUCGUGAGUGAUGAAGGCCCUAGGGUUGUAAAGCUCUUUCACCGGUGAAGAUAAUGACGGUAACCGGAGAAGAAGCCCCGGCUAACUUCGUGCCAGCCGCCGCAGUAACAC